GGCAGUGGGAUGUGGGCAGGGGUUUUGUCUCCUGCAAUGAGGGGCGGUCUCAAGACCGGGAGAAGGCCCUGCGUCUUGCAAGCCUGGCUGGAUGCGGCGCGCCUCUGAAACCCAGAACAGCCAAGCAGUUGAGCGAGGAUGGCCUGGCUUUGCACCACGGGCUUAUUUGUGCACUAAUCAUCAUAGCUACCGGAUUUUGAGUCCUUAAAAUCUGCCCAGUGGCUGUGCUCAAGGCUUUCCACCGCAGCAGUGUGGAGUAGGCGGUCAGCCCAUUCUACAGAUGGAAAAACUGAGGGCCCGAGAGGUGCAGUGACUCCCUCAGGGUCACACGGUUGAUGGAGACAGCACUGCUCCCUCUUCCCAGCCAGGGCCUGUGCGAGGGCUGCCACCACCAGGUCAGGGCCACCGAGGGCCGCAAGUCCAGGCUCCUGUGCCUUCUAGCCCUAAGGAGACAAGACUGCGGU